rnacentral:ribozyme from 1 species
GUCAAAGAAACGCUACGUAACGGCAUGAAAGUUUUUUUUUUUUUUUUUUUUUUUUU